UACACCGGCAUCAUGCCCCCCUCGCGCGCCGCCCAUUCACCUUCACCGUGCGGCAGCAGCCCUUCCCCGAAGCGCUACCCUCCGCCAGUAGCUCCGCCCACCGUCGAAUCCCUUUCUCGUCCAUCGGCAACCUCGGUAGUUGGAGCACGCCGGCGUCGGUCGUCCUCACCGUCGCCAUGUCGAGCUCCUCCCGGCGUUGUCCUCACCGUCACCUAGCUGCAUCCAUGUUGGUGUCAUCCGCCACCCGAAGAUCUACUGCGUGUUCCGUCGAUGCACCGCCCAGCAAGCAUCUUCAGUCUCCGGCACGUCAAGCAGGCACCGAACCAUCACUGGCCCUCGUGCGUUCGUACGUGCAGCUCCAAGUCGUCCUGCGACCGUCCUCCUCUGUCUGCUAGUGCUACGCAGUACACACUCUUUUUAUUUGUGCAUUCAUGUUCAGAUCAUCACAGUACAUAAUUGAUUGAUUUUUUAUCUGUCAAACAGUGUUGGCCUGCUAAUAACCAGUAACUAGUACUGAACUAUGAACUUUUCAUCUUGUAAAGUGGUAAUGUUCAGUGCCAAUGGGAGGGAAGUUGUUCGCUUCUGUUAACUUAUUAUUCGGUUGUAUAUUAGCUACUACUCCCUCCGUUCCUAAAUACAAGUCUUUUUAGAGAUUUCAAUAUAGACUACAUACGGAUGCAUAUAGACACAUUUUAGAGUGUAGGUUCAUUCAUUUUUCUCCUUAUGUGGUCCAUAUUAGAAUCUCUAAAAAGACUUAUGUGUAGGAACGGAGGGAGUAGUAAUUAUUGUGCACUGCUUGUUUUUUUUUAUGUAGAAAUGCAGAUAAGAGACAAUAAGUAAAAUUCAAUCUCCCCCAGGAAUCAAUUUCUCCUUUUAUUAGAGUUGAUUUCAGCGUCUCAGUGGAUUUUUGGGUGACGACGCGUGUAAUUUUGGGGGAGGAGCAGGGGUAUGCAUUAUGAGUUACACAUUCAUCUUGCGAUUAUGGUGGGUUAGGAUGUUCAUUCUGUUUUUAUUGGCAACAGCUUCAAACGCCUCUUCCCGAAUUUUCUGGACCGCUAUUUUAGGAGUAUAUAACCCCCACCCAUUGGAUGACCAACCCAUGUCACCGCGUACACCACUGUGGCCGCCACUUGACGGCAGGUGGUGGACACCAAUGCAACCACACUGGCGGCUUCCCUUGCCUAGCUACACGUUGCAUCUCUGUUUCAUCUUCGCUAGGUAAUUUGUGUACUUCUGCUCUCUUUUCUCUCUGUAUAAGCAUGUGCUUAUUAGUGAUUAGCACUCACAUCAUAACUAUUACUAGCUUAGAGGACAAUUUUUAUUCUCUAGACUGUUAUUUCUUACAUCUGUAAUAAUAAAACAUGUGGAAGGGGGUUCUUUUCAUUCUUCAUUGUGAUAUCUCAUUGCAGCAAGUUUUAAUUCUACAAGUAGAUGAAUCUUUUUUCUUUCAAAUUCAGAUUUAAUGGUGGGUGUAUAGUACAGAAAAUUGUAUACCUAACUGGUCCUUAAUCUAAGCAGAAUGUUUAUCAGGUAUUGCGUGCAGGUUUGUGGGGAUGACACAUAUUUGGAGGUACAGCUCCUGCUUGCAUGCGCAAAAAGUUCACGAUUUGCAUCUCUAAUAUAACAUGGUAAGUCUUUUUCAUUCUUGAUCUCCCCAUUACGCUAUAUUCCAUUUCAUGAAUGGAAGGAAUUCCGGUUUGAAUUCACAUGAUGUUCAAACACAUAAAUACCUGAUGUGCUGAAUUGCUAACAUACCAAAAAAAUGCUACAGCUUGAUGACUAUGUAGUAAAGUUCAUUCAGACUUAGUUCUGGUGACAUGGGUCUUGGGGAGUAUAUUGGGUUCCAAUACAAUUGAGCAUGAUUUAUUGGCAGUAUACUACAAAACUACAUUAUUCCCAGGUCAAGCAUUACAUUUUGGGCAUAACUUUACGUGCAAUGCAAGUCAGCAAAACAGAUGAGAUUUUUUUUCUUACUCCAGAACCACUUAAUUUUUCUCUACUGAUUUCCCCUUUGGAUCUUUGUAGGAGAUAAUGGCACAUCGAUUUGAUAUUUUUAGCAGUACUAUUUAUAUUUUAUUUUCCAAGAAAUACUCAAAAGUAUUGGUGGUAUGACAGUUGAGUACAUUUGUUGAUAUUUUAUUAUGAGCACAUGCUUUUUCCUAUCUAAUAUUAGGACUACGCAUCGUUGUGAUCCAUGUGAUAUGGGGCUUAAUGAUUUGAGAGUCGUUGUCCCCAAAUUAUUCUAAAAUGGUUGGUGGGUUUUUAUGUAUCCAUCAGCAGCUUUAUUUUUUGUGAACAUAUUUGUCUAACAGUUGAGUACAUUUACCAGCAAUAUAGAAAUGAAAAUUGCUAAUGACCCAUAUGAUUGCUUUCACUAGCGAGCUCAGGUGACAGUUCAAAGAGCAACUUCAAUGUUCUCUAAUAUCUGAUUGACCCACAGAGAAUUUUUAUUGAUAUUCUAGUAGUGCAUACUAAUGUAUUUUCAAUGCAUAUUUUAUAGCUUAGGGUGUGAAAUAUUCAUUUUGUGCAGCUUGCGAUCAUCAACUACUUAACUCUGGUGAAAUUUAUGGUGUUGUGGAACGAUUGAAGUUAGUACAAAGUCGAGACACUUAUAUUGAGAUGGAGGGAUUAUAAGUUUACUUACAGUUGAACUGAACCUCAAAUGUAGAAAGCAGAUGGUGGUCAAGAAUCAAAAAAUGCUCAUGCUUGAAAUAGCAAUGUGACCAAGCAAGGUGGUACUGAAUCAAGUGUAUAACUUCCUGUGUCACUAAGCACAUCAAGAAAAUACAUUUGUAGGCAGUAUGUUUGGCGAAGUAUCUUGGUUUUUUAGGUCAAAAAGCCAAAGCUGACCACUCCAACACAACCUAAGACAUUGGUGCUCCAAGACAACCUCAAGACAUUUCUACGGCUAGCUGAGAGUUUAGAAUUGGAACACAUUGCAGGAGCAAGCAGCAACUACGCAAGAAUUAGUCUUUAAAUAAACAUAUAUUAUGUAUAAUGUAUGGAAAGCUUAGUUCUACUUUGUAGUAUAUAUAUUCUCUUAAUUAUUUACAUCUUUCAUAUGAAUGUCUGAUUUGAUUCAGUUGUGAACUCCAUACACAAACGUAUGUAUUUGUUCAUAGAUUUGUUGCAAAUGAUGCAAAU